CAGCCGCCGCGGUAAUACAGAGGGUGCAAGCGUUAAUCGGAAUUACUGGGCGUAAAGCGCGCGUAGGUGGUUUGUUAAGUUGGAUGUGAAAUCCCCGGGCUCAACCUGGGAACUGCAUCCAAAACUGGCAAGCUAGAGUAUGGUAGAGGGUGGUGGAAUUUCCUGUGUAGCGGUGAAAUGCGUAGAGAUCUGGAGGAAUACCGGUGGCGAAGGCGGCCCCCUGGACAAAGACUGACGCUCAGGUGCGAAAGCGUGGGGAGCAAACAGGAUUAGAUACCCCUGUAGUCCCUGUCUCUUAUAC
rnacentral:rRNA from 1 species